AACGAACGCUGGCGGCGUGGCUAAGGCAUGCAAGUCGAGCGAACCUAUCUGAAGGGUAACUGGAGGAUAGGUUAGCGGCGAACGGGUGAGGAAUACAUGGACAACAUACCCCAGACACAGGGAUAGCGGCGGGGGCAACCCCUUUGCGAAAGUGCCGAUAAUACCUGAUAACCCCACGGGAUCGCAUGAUUUUGUGGGCAAAGCUCCGGCGGUUUGGGAUUGGUUCAUGCCCUAUCAGCUAGUUGGUGAGGUAACGGUUCACCAAGGCAACGACGGGUACCGGGCGUGAGAGCGUGACCCGGCACGUCGGAACUGAGAUACGGUCCGGACACCUACGGGUGGCUGCAGCAACGAAUAUUCCGCAAUGGACGCAAGUCUGACGGAGCGACGCCGCGUGCAGGAUGAAGUCUUUCGGGAUGUAAACUGCUGUCGGGGGCGAGGAAUACAAUGACCAGCCUCAAAGGAAGCAUCGGCUAACUCCGUGCCAGCAGCCGCGGUAAUACGGG
rnacentral:rRNA from 1 species